rnacentral:rRNA from 1 species
GGAAUCGCUAGUAAUCGUGGAUCAGCAUGCCACGGUGAAUACGUUCCCAGGCCUUGUACACACCGCCCGUCACACCAUGGGAGUUGGAUUGACCCGAAGACGCUGAGCUAACCCGCAAGGGAGGCAGGCGGCCACGGUCGGUUCAGCGACUGGGGUGAAGUCGUAACAAGGUAGCCGUAGGGGAACCUGCGGCUGGAUCACCUCCUUUCUAAGGAACUG